GAUGAACGCUGGCGGCGUGCCUAAUACAUGCAAGUCGAGCGAACAGACGAGGAGCUUGCUCCUCUGACGUUAGCGGCGGACGGGUGAGUAACACGUGGAUAACCUACCUAUAAGACUGGGAUAACUGCGGGAAACCGGAGCUAAUACCGGAUAAUAUAUUGAACCGCAUGGUUCAAUAGUGAAAGACGGUUUUGCUGUCACUUAUAGAUGGAUCCGCGCCGCAUUAGCUAGUUGGUAAGGUAACGGCUUACCAAGGCAACGAUGCGUAGCCGACCUGAGAGGGUGAUCGGCCACAUGGGACAGGAGACGCGGUCCAGCCUCAUGGGGGAGGCAGCGGUGGGGAAUCUUCCGCGAUGGGAGCAGGCCUGGCGGAGCAACGCCGCGUGGGUGAUGUAGGUCUUCGGAUCGUAAAACUCUGUUAUUAGGGAAGAACAAAUGUGUAAGCAACUAGGCACGUCUCGACGCUCCCUAACUAGAGAGCGACAGCGAACAAC
rnacentral:rRNA from 1 species